rnacentral:rRNA from 1 species
CACGUAGGGGACGAGCGUUGUUCGGAAUUACUGGGCGUAAAGGGCGCGUAGGCGGCCUACUAAGUCGAACGUGAAAUCCCUGGGCUCAACCCAGGAACUGCGUCCGAUACUGGGAGGCUUGAAUCCGGGAGAGGGAUGCGGAAUUCCAGGUGUGGCGGUGAAAUGCGUAGAUAUCUGGAGGAACACCGGUGGCGAAGGCGGCAUCCUGGACCGGCAUUGACGCUGAGGCGCGAAAGCCAGGGGAGCAAACGGG